rnacentral:rRNA from 1 species
GAGUUUGAUCGUGGCUCAAGAUGAACGCUAGCGGCAGGCUUAAUACAUGCAAGUCGUGGGGCAGCACAAAUAGCAAUAUUGGGUGGCGACCGGCAAACGGGUGCGUAACACGUACGCAACCUUCCUGUUACUGGGGAAUAGCCCAGGGAAACUUGGAUUAAUACCCCAUAUUAUAUAGAUCAGGCAUCUGGUUUAUAUCAAAGCUUCGGCGGUAACAGAUGGGCGUGCGGUUGAUUAGGUAGUUGGCGGGGUAACGGCCCACCAAGCCUACGAUCAAUAGCUGAUGUGAGAGCAUGAUCAGCCACACGGGCACUGAGACACGGGCCCGACUCCUACGGGAGGCAGCAGUAAGGAUAUUGGGCAAUGGACGCAAGUCUGACCCAGCCAUGCCGCAUGAAGGAUGAAGGUCCUCUGGAUUGUAAACUUCUUUUAUCUGGGGCGAAAAUCGGGUAUUCUUAUCCGCUUGACAGUACCAGAGGAAUAAGCACCGGCUAACUCCGU